CGGGGCUUAGUGCCGGAGCUAACGCAAUAAGCACUCCGCCUGGGGAGUACGACCGCAAGGUUGAAACUCAAAGGAAUUGACGGGGGCCCGCACAAGCGGUGGAGCAUGUGGUUUAAUUCGAAGCAACGCGAAGAACCUUACCAGGUCUUGACAUCCCGAUGCUAUUCUUAGAGAUAGGAAGUUACUUCGGUACAUCGGAGACAGGUGGUGCAUGGUUGUCGUCAGCUCGUGUCGUGAGAUGUUGGGUUAAGUCCCGCAACGAGCGCAACCCUUAUUGUUAGUUGCCAUCAUUAAGUUGGGCACUCUAGCGAGACUGCCGGUAAUAAACCGGAGGAAGGUGGGGAUGACGUCAAAUCAUCAUGCCCCUUAUGACCUGGGCUACACACGUGCUACAAUGGUCGGUACAACGAGUUGCGAGCCGGUGACGGCAAGCUAAUCUCUGAAAGCCGAUCUCAGUUCGGAUUGGAGGCUGCAACUCGCCUCCAUGAAGUCGGAAUCGCUAGUAAUCGCGGAUCAGCACGCCGCGGUGAAUACGUUCCCGGGCCUUGUACACACCGCCCGUCACACCACGAGAGUUUGUAACACCCGAAGU
rnacentral:rRNA from 1 species